UGGGGAAUAUUGGACAAUGGGGGGAACCCUGAUCCAGCAAUGCCGCGUGUGUGAAGAAGGCCUGAGGGUUGUAAAGCACUUUCAGUGGGGAGGAGGAUAUUCGGGUUAAGAGCUGGAAUAUUGGACGUUACCCACAGAAGAAGCACCGGCUAACUCCGUGCCAGCAGCCGCGGUAAUACGGAGGGUGCGAGCGUUAAUCGGAAUUACUGGGCGUAAAGAGUGCGUAGGUGGUUGAUUAAGUUAUCUGUGAAAUCCCUGGGCUUAACCUGGGCAGGUCAGAUAAUACUGAAUGACUCGAGUAUGGGAGAGGGUAGUGGAAUUUCCGGUGUAGCGGUGAAAUGCGUAGAGAUCGGAAGGAACACCAGUGGCGAAGGCGGCUACCUGGCCUAAUACUGACACUGAGGCACGAAAGCGUGGGGAGCAAACAGGAUUAGAUACCCCUGUAGUCC
rnacentral:rRNA from 1 species